UCUCCGUUGGUGAACCAGCGGAGGGAUCAUUACAGAGUGCCCCUGGCUCUGCAACCCCUGUGAACAGUACGCUGUUGCCUCGGCAGGCUCGCCUGCCGGAGGCCCCAUCAUACUCUGUUAGUCGCCGUCCUUCUGACUGGAUUUUUAAAUUGAUAAAAACUUUCAACAACGGAUCUCUUGGCUCCGGCAUCGAUGAAGAACGCAGC
rnacentral:misc_RNA from 1 species